rnacentral:rRNA from 1 species
UACGAAGGGGGCUAGCGUUGCUCGGAAUUACUGGGCGUAAAGCGCACGUAGGCGGAUUGUUAAGUCGGGGGUGAAAUCCUGGAGCUCAACUCCAGAACUGCCUUCGAAACUGGCGAUCUUGAGUCCGGGAGAGGUGAGUGGAACUGCGAGUGUAGAGGUGAAAUUCGUAGAUAUUCGCAAGAACACCAGUGGCGAAGGCGGCUCACUGGCCCGGUACUGACGCUGAGGGGCGAAAGCGUGGGGAGCAAACAGG